CCAGUCAAUAAUAAUUAUGUUCUCGAUAACGUACUAUUCGAUUUAUCUUUUUCUUUUUCUAUAGUUUUGUAUAGUUAAUUUUAAAGCUGUUUUCACUACGUCCCACCAUCAUUUCCUUUUUCUGCUGCUUGCGCAAAUUUUUCAAAGCCACUUAUUUGCGCUUUUUUUCCCGGGACGGCCUCUAGAUGUUCUCUGCUUGAUUUGUCCCUUUAUUGCCAGUUGUUCACUCAUGACCUCUUCACGAACGACUCGUUCGUUUGAGCUUUAAUACUUUGUAUACUUCCUCGUUUGUUGUAGUUCGAUAUUUACCUUUUUGAACAAUUGGAUUAUAAAUACUCCGUAUUACCCUCCUAUCAACGAUCGUCAACUACUCUUUCACCUAUUUUACCGACCAAGUUUCGUACACUUUCGAUUGGAAUAUUACCCUGGU